rnacentral:rRNA from 1 species
CUUGGUCAUUUAGAGGAAGUAAAAGUCGUAACAAGGUCUCCGUUGGUGAACCAGCGGAGGGAUCAUUACCGAGUUUACAACUCCCAAACCCCUGUGAACAUACCUUAAUGUUGCCUCGGCGGAUCAGCCCGCGCCCCGUAAAACGGGACGGCCCGCCAGAGGACCCAAACUCUAAUGUUUCUUAUUGUAACUUCUGAGUAAAACAAACAAAUAAAUCAAAACUUUCAACAACGGAUCUCUUGGUUCUGGCAUCGAUGAAGAACGCAGCAAAAUGCGAUAAGUAAUGUGAAUUGCAGAAUUCAGUGAAUCAUCGAAUCUUUGAACGCACAUUGCGCCCGCUGGUAUUCCGGCGGGCAUGCCUGUUCGAGCGUCAUUUCAACCCUCAAGCCCCCGGGUUUGGUGUUGGGGAUCGGCUCUGCCCUUCUGGGCGGUGCCGCCCCCGAAAUACAUUGGCGGUCUCGCUGCAGCCUCCAUUGCGUAGUAGCUAACACCUCGCAACUGGAACGCGGCGCGGCCAUGCCGUAAAACCCCAACUUCUGAAUGUUGACCUCGGAUCAGGUAGGAAUACCCGCUGAACUUAAGCAUAUCAAUAAGCGGAGGA